rnacentral:rRNA from 1 species
UACAGAGGUCCCGAGCGUUGUUCGGAUUCACUGGGCGUAAAGGGUGCGUAGGUGGCAUAGAAAGUUUGAUGUGAAAGCUCAGGGCUUAACCCUGAAAUGGCAUUGAAUACUGCUGUGCUGGAGGUUUGGAGGGGGGACUGGAAUUCUUGGUGUAGCAGUGAAAUGCGUAGAUAUCAAGAGGGACACCAGUGGCGAAGGCGAGUCCCUGGACAACACCUGACACUGAGGCACGAAAGCUAGGGGAGCAAACGGG